rnacentral:rRNA from 1 species
AAUGAACGCUGGCGGCGUGCCUAACACAUGCAAGUCGGAUGUGCCGCAAGGUGCAUGGCAGACGGGUGAGUAACGCGUGGGGAACCUACCUCUUCGUGGGGAAUAACGAUCCGAAAGGAUUGGUAAUACCGCAUGAGACCGACGGCUGGGAUGCUGUCGGUGAAAGCUGGGGACCGGAAACGGCCUGGCGCGAGGAGAGGGUCCUGCGUCUGAUUAGCUAGUUGGUGGGGUAACGGCCUACCAAGGCAUCGAUCAGUAGCCGGCCUGAGAGGGUGAUCGGCCACACUGGAACUGAGACACGGUCCAGACUCCUACGGGAGGCAGCAGUGGGGAAUUUUGCGCAAUGGACGAAAGUCUGACGCAGCAACGCCGCGUGGGUGAUGAAGGUCUUCGGAUUGUAAAAACCCUGUCGUCGGGGACGAAGGUAGGAGGGUUAAUAGCCCUUUUGCUUGACGGUAUCCGGAGAGGAAGCCCCGGCUAACUCUGUGCCAGCAGCCGCGGAAU